AUAUUUGGCCCAGAUGAAAACCGGGCGGGAUGGCAGCCCCGGGGCCAGGGAUGCGGGAGCCGCCGGGAAGACCCGCGCGCCGCUCGACUCAGAGGGACUCACACCUUCCCCCGACAAAGAGGCGGCCCCACUGUCGACCAAGUGCCCAAGGCAUUGUGGGAGUCAUGAUUCCAAGAUGCCCGCGACGGAAAAUGGAACUUGUCAGCUCCUUGUCAUGGGAGCAUUGUGGGCGCCACAACUCAUUCAGCUGCAGUGAAAAGACUGUUGCAUGUCGCUGUGCAGCCUCUUAUCGCCGAGGUCUGGCUUCCGCUGCUGCUGCGCGGCCCCUCCCCCGCCCGCCCAGCCCCACCAGGAAGCCCAGGGCGGACUCGUCGAGCUCCUAAUGCACGCGGCGGCGAGAAAAACGCUCUUCAACUUUCCGCCGGCGCCCUCCCGCGCUUCCCCGGGCCACAGGGUCGCCUGUCAACCGGACAGAGCCCGCAAGAGCGGGUCAUGGGCGGUCGCCCAGCGGCGCCGAGAGCAGGAGGAAGCCGGAGCCCGCGCGGGCGCCGUGGAUCCCCUCGGCCUCCCGUUGGUAUCUUCCAUCUCAUGCGUUCAGCAUUGUAACCUCGCGGCGGGCGUGCAGACCGGACGCCCUCCCGCUUCUUCUACCGACUGCUAGGCACACCAGUGGGUUCAUUUUGAAAGAGGCCCUUGCACCGGGCUUUGCAAGGAAGCCGGCAAGGUUAGAUUGAAGGUUAGAAGCCAAUUAGACUAGAAUCCUGCGAUCUGGUGAGACUGCCGCCUUAAAAUGCACCAAACAGUUUUUGAACCUGGAGGGCUAACAGGCGGGAAAAACAUCUGCAAGACUGCCACCGUGUAUUUUUCUCAAGUAACAGGCUAUCCACAGUUUUGGAAUUCCUUAGUGAAACUGUCACACAGGCACAAACACAUGUCAGCUUUCCUUCUAGUUUGUAAAUAAUAUUUGUAAUUUACAGGCCACUGUAUUCCCAACUUUGCACCAUGUGAUUUAGAGAAAGCAAAGCUCCCUCUUUAAAAAUAAUAUGUUACUUCUGAAAUACCGGGAUAUUCCACGGCAAGUAAGCCAUAUUGUCGCCAGAGCAAAUAAACCGCAGCCCCAUAUCAUAAUUCACUGGGUGCUAUAAGAUGUAACUUGGCUUUGCUUUGAAUGGAAAGAAUCCUGAACGUCUGUGAUGUGAUGAAGUUUUGGAGACUGGGGGCAGGAUUUCCUUUGAAUGUAAGGAAUUCGGAUAACUUGUUCAAGGAUGAUUCUAGUGAAAAACGUUUGUCCCAUGUUUGUUGGGACAAAAAUGCUGGAUAUGGUACAACAUUCUUCCUGCAGGUUCGGUUUUGUUGAAGAGAGUGAGGCCAGCUCGAGGUGAAGGAAAAACAUCAGAAAGGUGCUAAAGUGCAGAAAUAUCUUCCAGAGGCACUAAUAGCCGACUUUAGUUCUUGACCUUUAGCUAGAUCCACAAAGCACUGAGUUAAAAUUGUACACUGAUCCCUUCCAGAACAAAUUAAUUAAUUAAAUGGUGCCUCUUCCCAGCGUUAAUCGUUUAAAAGGACUCAAGUACCCACACAGUUUAAGCAAACUAAAAGAACACUGACACUUUCUCAGAGAACAGGGAUGGGAACUUUCUAUCUGCCCAUUAGUAUCUACCCCAAGCUACGAAGACUUCCAUUCCUCUUAUUAAGCAUUCAGCAACUACAUUUAGUGCCUACUAUGCCAGUGAUGCAAGAAUGGAUAAGACAGUCCCUACACUCAAGGAUAACGCCUCUAGUAGGUGAGAGACAAACCGAUUAAUUCUGCAUAAGGGAUAAGUGCUGUAUGUGGGAAGCAAUCCAAUGAGGGCUCUGAGGAUGGCAAAGGAAGGGUUCCUGGAGGAUUUACAUUUAACUGGUGCCUUGAAAGGUGUGUAGAAGUUGGCAAGAUCAAAAGGGAGUAGAGUCCAGGUGGAGAAGAGAAAAGAGCAGGGCAGGCUGGAUGGCAUGGCUCACACCUGUAAUCCCAGCACUUUGGGAGGCCAUGGAGGGAGGAUUGAGGCCAGGAGUUUGAGACCAGCCUGGGUGACAUUAAAAGACCCUGUCUCAAAGAAAACGAAAGGAGCAGGGUAUAUACAAGGGGUCUGCCAGCCUUCUCAGCCUUUCUGUGAGAAGCGAGGGUAGGGUAGUACAGGAGAGUGGCAGGAGAUGACACUAAAAGUAGGUCUGUGUUGAUCUAACGAGUCUCAACUUUACUGCCAAAACUAAUGAACUAGGAAAGUUUAGGCAGCAAGGGCCAGAGAUGGAGUCUGGACUUGUAUUGCAGAAAGUUCCUGUGACGGCAGCUUGGAGGGUGAAUGAGAGUGUGGGAUGGAGGGGUGAAUGGGUGUGGACAGACUGGAAAAAUGACUCAUGCAGGGAAUGAGGAAGGGAGGAGCCUUGGGAGACUCUCAAAUCCCUGGCUUAGCCUACUGAAUUGCUUGCUACUUGCCUUUUUAUGUCUUCAUUUUGCCUCCCAUUGUCUGUGAUAUUAAAGGCCUAACUUCUUAGUAGAGCAAACUUUGCAUCUGCUAGCAGGUUGGUGCCCUAGCUAGCUUCCAUGCCCCUCUGCUUAGAAUGCCUGCGAACCACUAAGGACUAAUCCUAGUGGUAGAAAUUUAUUUUCAAUUGUUCUCAAACCCUUGUAGAAUUCCAAGUUAGAACUGUAGUGUUCUUUUUUCAUGUGGGUUAGAAAAUUUGCUGUUUGGAGCAACAUGGUGAAACACAGGACUUUUGAACCUGCUUAUGGUGCAAAAGGGGAAAUUAUAUUUCUACUUCAACACUGGAGGAGGGGGGACUUCUGGGAGCAAAAGAGAAAUGGAAACUGAGAUGAGACAUGUUUUUUACUCCAUGACAGAAUACAAAGAAAUACAAGGAUGAUCCUUUAAUGUUAGAAACAGUAGAAUAACCAUCCUGGUAAAUAAAAAAGGAGAAAAAAUGUUAUUUUACAUUAGAUACAGAAAAACAGAAUGGCUAAGAAAACUCACAAAGCAAUGGUCAAUCUAUAACUCGAGUCCAAAUAAAUUGUGAUAUAACACUAAAUUACCACUGAUUUGGCCUAAUUGACUAUCACUGGAUAACAUUAUAACAUGAAUGAUAAUAUUUAAAAUUUUAAAGCACUGUAACAAACACCAGAUCAUGUUAAAACUAUUCAAUCAUGUUGUCAGCUUUCAACUGCCAGUAGCAUCCUAACCACAUUUCAAACUAUGGAAAUUACUAAAAA
rnacentral:lncRNA from 1 species